rnacentral:lncRNA from 1 species
CUCCCAGCUUAUAGCCUUAAGCUCAAAUUAGACCAAAAGAGUUCCGACAGAGCGCACUUUCUCGAUGUAGAUAUAACUAUAAGACAGAACGCCUUUGCCACCAAGAUUUAUAAAAAACCGACUGAAGCAACAAUUCUUAUCCCUGAAUGGGCUAAUGAUACAUGGCGGAACAAAAGUGCGCUCUAAGGUCCCUCCUCGCUAGGGCCUUCUCUCAUUGCAGCGAGGUCGAAUCGCUAGAUGAUGAAAUUGCCUUUAUAACUACUUUAGCUAAGAACCACGGAUAUAGAUCUAUUGUUAUUAAGAAGUUAAUUAAAGAAAAUAAGAAUAGAAGUCAAUCCAGACACUUGCAUGAUUCAUCUACGGCCAUGGCAGACCCAGCACCGGGCACAUCGACCAAUACACAUUGAUACCGCACAUGUUGAAAGAGUCGAGGUUGACGAAGAACAUUUUGAAAAAAAGGUGUCUUUAAACCAGCCUACCAAAGGCCUCCAACAAUUUUUAAUUUGCUCCGUAAUGUGAAAGAACCCCAAAAUCAAGAGCGUAGAAACGGAGUUUAUGAAAUCCCAUUACAUAAUUUAGAUGAAGGAGCUGAUGAAGUUUAUGUAGGUGCAACAACAAGAAAUCUAGAUAAUGGAAUAUUAGAGCAUAAAAGAAGCU